UACGGAGGGUGCGAGCAUUAAUCGGAUUUAUUGGGCGUAAAGGGCGCGUAGGCGGGCAAUUAAGUCAGAUGUGAAAUCCCGGGGCUCAACCCCGGAACAGCAUAUGAAACUGAUAGUCUAGAGGGUAGGCGGAGAAAAUGGAAUUCCACAAGUAGCGGUGAAAUGCGUAGAUAUGUGGAAGAACACCGGUGGCGAAGGCGGUUUUCUAGCUUAUACCUGACGCUAAAGCGCGAAAGCAAGGGGAUCAAACAGG
rnacentral:rRNA from 1 species